UACGUAGGUGGCGAGCGUUGUCCGGAUUUACUGGGCGUAAAGCGUGCGCAGGCGGUUCGCCAAGUCAGGUGUGAAAUCCCCGGGCUUAACCUGGGAAUUGCGCUUGAAACUAGCGGGCUUGAGUGUGGCAGAGGGGGGUGGAAUUCCACGUGUAGCAGUGAAAUGCGUAGAGAUGUGGAGGAACACCGAUGGCGAAGGCAGCCCCCUGGGUCAACACUGACGCUCAUGCACGAAAGCGUGGGGAGCGAACAGG
rnacentral:rRNA from 1 species